GACGAACGCUGGCGGCGUGCUUAACACAUGCAAGUCGAACGGAAAGGCCCUGCUUUUGUGGGGUGCUCGAGUGGCGAACGGGUGAGUAACACGUGAGUAACCUGCCCUUGACUUUGGGAUAACUUCAGGAAACUGGGGCUAAUACCGGAUAGGAGCUCCUGCUGCAUGGUGGGGGUUGGAAAGUUUCGGCGGUUGGGGAUGGUCUCGCGGCUUAUCAGCUUGUUGGUGGGGUAGUGGCUUACCAAGGCUUUGACGGGUAGCCGGCCUGAGAGGGUGACCGGCCACAUUGGGACUGAGAUACGGCCCAGAAUCCUACGGGAGGCAGCAGUGGGGAAUAUUGCACAAUGGGCGGAAGCCUGAUGCAGAAACGCCGCGUGCGGGAUGACGGCCUUCGGGUUGUAAACAGCUGUCGCCUGUGACGAAGAGUGAGUGACGGUAAUGGGUAAAGAAGCACCGGCUAACUACGUG
rnacentral:rRNA from 1 species